AUUUUCCCUCCGGGCUGUCUACCCAUCAACGAGGGGGACCGGUGAACCCCUCCUCUGUGGCUCAGUCCCUAGCAGCGCAGGGUUUGGGAGGGGAAAUGGCAGCUGUGUGUGGCGGUGACCGGUGGCUGCUCCCUGCGCGAAAUUCAGAAAGAAAGCAGCGGCUCCCGGGGGCUUGGCCCUCCCGCCUCAGCCCUCCUCGUUGUUCUACAAAGUAAUCAUUACAAGCAACUGUCAGAGCUGCCACCAUGACCACGAAUUCAUUAAAAUCCACUUCGUUGUCCUUAUUGGCAUCCAGGUCCUGCAUUACCUUAUCAACCAAUUGUGGGUCCUUUUGGCUCUAAAAGGAAAAAGAAAAUGUCUAACUCCCAGGCUUGGAGGUUCAUGACAACUGAAAUUGCAUUUUCCUUUUAUUUAUGCUCUAGUUUUUAUUUGUUUUAGCAUCUAAGGACA
rnacentral:lncRNA from 1 species